GUUCUAACUAUAUGAUAUUGUUUAUUUGUGUUUACAUGUUUUAACUCGUGUUUCUAGAACACAUUUAGUAUAAGUGUGUUAUUUUGUGUAAGUGUGCCGUUAAUCAAAACAUAAAGCUGCUUUUACUUCUUUUUGUCAAUACAAAUGAUACAAAGAACUGUUUUCUUACAUUGUUUGUGAAUUUAAUAAGAAAGAUUGUAUUAUACAGAAAUGAACAAAUAUUUUUUGUAAUAACUCUUUUUUUUAUUAGUCAUUGUACCACAAUGUGAAACCAAGAAGCCCGUUCAACUUGUCAAGCGCAUAUGUGUUAAUCAUACUUUAUUGCCACAAAAACUGUGUUAUCUACUUACCUACUUACCAUACCUUUUUUUAAAGAGCAUUCAUAAUAAAUUAUCAGUUAGAAACAAUUGGCCACAGAAUGUACAAAGCAAUGCCUUGUUAAUAAACUAUUUGCUGUGAUUCACAAUUUUAGGAAGAAAUUUUCAGAAAAUGAAAAAGAG